UUGCUUUUUGUUGACGUCUAUAACGUGAACUAAUCUCCUUCGCCAUAGUAACGGCAUUCUCCUGUGUUCUGAUUGGCUAAUACACAUUGUUUGAGUAAAAUAUAUAUCAUUCCAUCCCUAAUACGGGUAGAUAAGGUUUCAUAUCCAGCUACUAGCAAUUGGAAGCUGACAUGUUUUUAUAUAAAACGAAAUAAUGAAAGAUAGAGAAAUUUAACUUGCUGGAUAUAUUCUGCUUUUAAACAUGUCGGAAGAACGUUCGCCUGGCACUAACGAGUGUGAAAUAAUAAAAGGUACGUAGUAGAGCUCUUGAAGAGCGGUCGUUUUAAAAGACCGCCUGCUAAAGUCGCGGUUAUAUUUUUGUGUUUAUAAUGUCUACCUGUAUAAUUUCCAUUUUGCAGAUCGCCUUUACUUCGCUACAGUACGGGGAAGGCCUAGAAGCACUCAAAAUGCACAUUAUUUUAGCAUCGAUGAUGAUUUAGUUUAUGAAAAGUACGUAUCUCUCAAAAUAUUUUUGCAUAAAUACCACUUGUAUAUAUAUCGUAUGACACUUUGUUGACAUGGAAAUGCUUAGUGGUUUUGCUUGAGUCUCGUUAGUUUUUACCCAAAAAACCACAAAUACUUGGAGUUUAUCACUGUGCUUAACAAGAUCUAUUAUGUUGUUUUAAUUGCAGUUUUUAUGCCGACUUUGGCCCCCUCAAUUUGGCUAUGCUAUAUCGCUACUGCUGCAAGCUGAAUAAAAAGCUCAAGG